rnacentral:rRNA from 1 species
ACUCAAAUGAAUUGACGGGGGCUCACACAAGCGGUGGAGGAUGUGGUUUAAUUCGAAGCAACGCGCAGAACCUUACCAAGUCUUGACAUGGUGGAAUUAGAUGUGUGAAAGCAUAUCGAUUGCCCGCAAGGGUGUAACCAUCACAGGUGCUGCAUGGCUGUCGUCAGCUCGUGCCGUGAGGUGUUCGGUUAAGUCCUUUAACGAGCGAAACCCCUACGAUGAGUUACCAGCGGAUAAUGCCGGGGACUCUCAUCGGACUGCCGCGCAAGCUGGAGGAAGGAGGGGACGACGUCAAGUCAUCAUGGCCUUUAUGGCUUGGGCCACACACGUCCUACAAUGGGUGGUACAAAGAGCAGCAAGACCGCAAGGUCAAGCAAAUCUCCGAAAGCCACCCUCAGUUCGGAUUGUGGGCUGCAAUUCGCCCACAUGAAGCUGGAAUCGCUAGUAAUCGCGGAUCAGCCACGCCGCGGUGAAUCUGUUCCUGAGCCUUGUACACACCGCCCGU